rnacentral:rRNA from 1 species
GGGCCCGCACAAGCGGUGGAGCAUGUGGUUUAAUUCGAUGCAACGCGAAGAACCUUACCAGGGUUUGACAUCCUGCGAAUCUCUUGGAAACAGGAGAGUGCCUUCGGGAACGCAGUGACAGGUGGUGCAUGGCUGUCGUCAGCUCGUGUCGUGAGAUGUUGGGUUAAGUCCCGCAACGAGCGCAACCCACGUCUUUAGUUGCCAGCAUUUAGUUGGGCACUCUAGAGAGACUGCCGGUGAUAAACCGGAGGAAGGUGUGGAUGACGUCAAGUCAUCAUGCCCCUUACAUCCUGGGCUACACACGUACUACAAUGCUACGGACAAAGGGCAGCAAGUUCGCGAGGACAAGCAAAUCCCAAAAAGUUGCCUCAGUUCGGAUUGGAGUCUGCAACUCGACUCCAUGAAGUUGGAAUCGCUAGUAAUCG